UGGGGAAUAUUGCACAAUGGGCGCAAGCCUGAUGCAGCCAUGCCGCGUGUAUGAAGAAGGCCUUCGGGUUGUAAAGUACUUUCAGCGGGGAGGAAGGGAGUAAAGUUAAUACCUUUGCUCAUUGACGUUACCCGCAGAAGAAGCACCGGCUAACUCCGUGCCAGCAGCCGCGGUAAUACGGAGGGUGCAAGCGUUAAUCGGAAUUACUGGGCGUAAAGCGCAUGCAGGCGGUUUGUUAAGUCAGAUGUGAAAUCCCCGGGCUCAACCUGGGAACUGCAUCUGAUACUGGCAAGCUUGAGUCUCGUAGAGGGGGGUAGAAUUCCAGGUGUAGCGGUGAAAUGCGUAGAGAUCUGGAGGAAUACCGGUGGCGAAGGCGGCCCCCUGGACGAAGACUGACGCUCAGGUGCGAAAGCGUGGGGAGCAAACA
rnacentral:rRNA from 1 species